AAGGUGAUAUGAACCGUUAUAACCGGCGAUUUCCGAAUGGGGAAACCCAGUGUGAUUCGUCACACUAUCAUUAACUGAAUCCAUAGGUUAAUGAGGCGAACCGGGGGAACUGAAACAUCUAAGUACCCCGAGGAAAAGAAAUCAACCGAGAUUCCCCCAGUAGCGGCGAGCGAACGGGGAGGAGCCCAGAGCCUGAAUCAGCAUGUGUGUUAGUGGAAGCGUCUGGAAAGGCGCGCGAUACAGGGUGACAGCCCCGUACACAAAAGCGCAUGUGCUGUGAGCUCGAUGAGUAGGGCGGGACACGUGGUAUCCUGUCUGAAUAUGGGGGGACCAUCCUCCAAGGCUAAAUACUCCUGACUGACCGAUAGUGAACCAGUACCGUGAGGGAAAGGCGAAAAGAACCCCGGCGAGGGGAGUGAAAAAGAACCUGAAACCGUGUACGUACAAGCAGUGGGAGCACAGGUUUACCUGUGUGACUGCGUACCUUUUGUAUAAUGGGUCAGCGACUUAUAUUCUGUAGCAAGGUUAACCGAAUAGGGGAGCCGGAGGGAAACCGAGUCUUAAUUGGGCGUUAAGUUGCAGGGUAUAGACCCGAAACCCGGUGAUCUAGCCAUGGGCAGGUUGAAGGUUGGGUAACACUAACUGGAGGACCGAACCGACUAAUGUUGAAAAAUUAGCGGAUGACCUGUGGCUGGGGGUGAAAGGCCAAUCAAACCGGGAGAUAGCUGGUUCUCCCCGAAAGCUAUUUAGGUAGCGCCUCGUGAAUUCAUCUCCGGGGGUAGAGCACUGUUUCGGCUAGGGGGCCAUCCCGGCUUACCAACCCGAUGCAAACUGCGAAUACCGGAGAAUGUUAUCACGGGAGACACACGGCGGGUGCUAACGUCCGUCGUGAAGAGGGAAACAACCCAGACCGCCAGCUAAGGUCCCAAAGUCAUGGUUAAGUGGGAAACGAUGUGGGAAGGCCCAGACAGCCAGGAUGUUGGCUUAGAAGCAGCCAUCAUUUAAAGAAAGCGUAAUAGCUCACUGGUCGAGUCGGCCUGCGCGGAAGAUGUAACGGGGCUAAACCAUGCACCGAAGCUGCGGCAGCGACACUGUGUGUUGUUGGGUAGGGGAGCGUUCUGUAAGCCUGUGAAGGUGGCCUGUGAGGGUUGCUGGAGGUAUCAGAAGUGCGAAUGCUGACAUAAGUAACGAUAAAGCGGGUGAAAAGCCCGCUCGCCGGAAGACCAAGGGUUCCUGUCCAACGUUAAUCGGGGCAGGGUGAGUCGACCCCUAAGGCGAGGCCGAAAGGCGUAGUCGAUGGGAAACGGGUUAAUAUUCCCGUACUUGGUGUUACUGCGAAGGGGGGACGGAGAAGGCUAUGUUGGCCGGGCGACGGUUGUCCCGGUUUAAGCGUGUAGGUGUGUGUUCCAGGUAAAUCCGGUUCACUUUAACACUGAGGCGUGACGACGAGGCACUACGGUGCUGAAGCAACAAAUGCCCUGCUUCCAGGAAAAGCCUCUAAGCAUCAGGUAACAUCAAAUCGUACCCCAAACCGACACAGGUGGUCAGGUAGAGAAUACCAAGGCGCUUGAGAGAACUCGGGUGAAGGAACUAGGCAAAAUGGUGCCGUAACUUCGGGAGAAGGCACGCUGACACGUAGGUGAAGUGAUUUACUCAUGGAGCUGAAGUCAGUCGAAGAUACCAGCUGGCUGCAACUGUUUAUUAAAAACACAGCACUGUGCAAACACGAAAGUGGACGUAUACGGUGUGACGCCUGCCCGGUGCCGGAAGGUUAAUUGAUGGGGUCAGCGCAAGCGAAGCUCCUGAUCGAAGCCCCGGUAAACGGCGGCCGUAACUAUAACGGUCCUAAGGUAGCGAAAUUCCUUGUCGGGUAAGUUCCGACCUGCACGAAUGGCGUAAUGAUGGCCAGGCUGUCUCCACCCGAGACUCAGUGAAAUUGAACUCGCUGUGAAGAUGCAGUGUACCCGCGGCAAGACGGAAAGACCCCGUGAACCUUUACUAUAGCUUGACACUGAACAUUGAGCCUUGAUGUGUAG
rnacentral:rRNA from 1 species